UCAGCGCAGUCUGUGUGGUUCCUGGGCGCUUUCAUGUCCUUUUCUCUUGCUGUGUGUUAAUAGGUCGGGCUGCUUUCAAUAUAUAAUUAAAAACAGUAUCUGAGUAUCACUCUCGAUCAUUCAAGAGAACCCUGUAAACAGAAACAAUCGGAUAGUAAUUGCCAUUUUAAACUCGUUUUAACAGCAAGCAUCAAAACAAAACCUCUUCCAUCUAAAAUCUGAACUGCCACCGGCAAACACAAAUCAUUGCGAUGAAGGAAAGAGUUAAAAUGCGCCAGUUGGAUUGCGGGCGUGAAUGAUCAUUGGAAGAUAGAACAUGCUUAUAUGAUUCUCAUCAUGUGUGACAACACUUUUCGUCUGCCAGGCUAUUGGCGUAAUUAAAUGUAAAGAUGACCAACUGUGCCAAUGGUUCAAAAGCCAGAGGAGAAGGUUCGGCUGCCACACAGUCUGCAUAAGUCUGGCUCUGCCAGUAAGCCGGUGACUGACAGACAGCAGUGGAUCGUGGAGAAAUGGGGGUUUGUGCAGAACCACAUAGUUCCAGUGGAGAGGAUAGAGAGCUCCAAGAAGUUUAUCAAGGAUAAAUGCCAAUGCGUCAUCUCUAGUGAUGAUGUGCCGGUUCCUCUUGAGGGACCCUCUGGGUCCAGCACUGUGGCCAAACAGCAAGCGGAUGCCGGCACACACAACUGCGCCUGAAUGUGAAGAGGCUGGAGUGCAAAGUCAGCGGGAGAUGUUCACAGAUCAUGCAACAGGUGUAGACAACGACAGACGUCAUGUCACAACCAAGGACGGUACACGAGAGGACUGUUUAUGCCUUCUCAAUGUUCUUGCGAGAGGAGAUGCUGCAAAUCCCAGAAUGCGAACUCCUCGGAGGCCUUUGCCUUGGCAAGGGCCCACAGAUCUCCUCAGCCAUUUUAGCCUUGCGUGGUUCAGCUUCCUCUCAUGGAAAAGACGAUAAAACUCAAAGAAAUAUGACCUGCAUAAUUUGCGCUGACUGCAGACCUCCGUGCAAGGAGGAGUUGCCAAACCUCAACCCAUUGUGGCUUCUUAAGGAGAUCAGUAAAAUAAAUAACAAACUUUCCAAUCUUGGCCUGGUCAAUCGAUGAGUCUUGAUAGUAAAUGCCCUUUGUAAUACGCUGGUGUUGCAGGUGAAGGGAAGUGUCGUGGGUUGCAGGGGUAUACACAGGCUUUACAGCAGGCAAAGGAAAAAUGCUUGUUUGUAGUUCAGGGAUCAGAGGUUGUUUGUAGCACACCUGCCAUCCCCUGAUGAGUUCAAUCCAUUGUAUAGGUCAGGAAUAGAAGAUCUAUGUACAACAUUUGAAAAAAAACUGAGCCAAAUAGGAUAUCCAUCUUUAAAUGGUUUAAGCAUUCUAUUUAGGAACAAAACACAAACAUCAUUAUUAAAACACUGAUUGACUUUUGUAUCAGAAUUAAACCAUUGAAAAACUUCAGUGCUGAAUCCCCAAUGGCAAUAGCUCACCAUCAAUGCCUCAGGAUCACUCAAGACCUUGUCGACCUUGUUCUCUGGCUUUCAUAAUCCAUGAGAGUAUUUUCAAUAAUCCUUUAUGUAAAAGGCAAAAUUUAAUUAGACAAUCAACAGAACAAAUUCCAAAGUAUCGGAAGACUCAUCUGAUGAAGCAGCGUCUGUGGAGGCAGACAAAAGUUACGGGUCGCUUUGGAUGAGACACUGAAUCCUUAUUAUUGACUUUAAACUGGUCUAUGAUUACAUGGCUGAUACUUUCUACCGCUCUUGAAUAAAGAGCCUGUCCCACUUACGUGUCCUUGGCACGCAAAUUACGCGACCUCGUGGUCGUGUUGAGCCGAGACGGUUCGCGAAGGUCAGGUGCGAUUACAUGCUUACGCACAGCCGUCUGGAGCGCGUGACGUCAUUCGAAGAUGGACACAAAGCUGGAGUAACUCAGCGGGACCAGCAGCAUCUCUGGAGAGAAGGAAUGGACGAUGUUUCAUGUCGAGACUCUUCUUCAGUCUGAAAAGAAGGGUCUUGACCCGAAAAGUCAUCCAUUGCUUCUCUCCAGAGAUGCUGCCGGCCCCGCUGAGUUACUCCUACAUUUUGUGUCUAUCUUCAAUGUUCUUACCCCGCUCUGGGAGUAGAAGUGGGGGCGGAUCAGGACCGCAACGGCCGUGAGCCCCAGGCCGAGUUCGGCGUUUGUUUGCCUGCUUCUGCUGCUGUUGAAGAUCGUAUCUCCGGUCGCUCUGCGGCCCAACAUCGUGGAGCUGGCGGCCUUCCUCGAGACAGACUUGGAGCCCCAUCGCGGGGUCAUGGACUUACUAUCGGAGCCUACAAUCCUUUGCCUGGGAUUGACUCUCCAACUGCGGCCUGCGGAUUUCACCAUCGAGGAACUCACAGUCUUGGGUCGCGGCCGAUGUUGGGAAGCUCCAAGUAACAGGAGGUUCGACUAGCCCUGACCCGGGAUCCGAUCGCCCAGCGCGGGUGAGUUGAGAUCCACCCUAUGCUGGAGCUUGAUCGCCCCGAUGCGGAGGGCUCAAUCGCCGACUAUGGGAGCCAAGAUCGUCCCGUCAACAGAAGGCUCGAGGUCCCCGACUGUGGGAGAACAAAGAAGGGAAGAGAUUGAACUUUUUUUUCACCUUCCAUCACAGUGAGGAAUGUGGAGGAGUCACUGUGGUGGAUGUUUAUGUUAAGAUGUAUUUUGUGUGUUUUGUUGCUUUUUAUUGGUAUGACUGUAUGGCAAAUCAAAUUCCUCGUAUUUUGCAAAAUAUACUUGGCUAAUGAAGUAAGAUUAUGAUUAUGAUUAUGAAUACUCAAGUACCUGAGAUAAUCGGAUAGCUACACAAUAUAUGGGACCAUGGAAAUGAGGUGUAGGACAUGCAAUAUUGUUUGCUGCUUUAAGCCCGUCGAUGCUCUAAUUCUGUCAUGUGACACCUGUUCUCUAACUUGUACCAAUAUUUGAGAAAGUUCCUGAAGAUCGGUUCAUGAUGAGCCCUUGGAUAAACCGCAUACUUUGUUUGAGGUCUUCAUGUCUCAUGAGUAUGAGUCUGUGCAGUGUACAUUGAAUCGCUUAACGGUUGGAAACACACUGAGCACAUGUACUCUACAUAAUGAAAGUAAAUGCCUGAAAGUAAAUUAAAUAUGUGUGAGGACUUUUAUUGGCAAAUAGGAGCCAUUGGAUAAUGCUGUCAAUGACAGAUAAUUAACAAAGAUUGAUUUGGCAGUAAUUGCCUAGAUUAAGAUUUAUUCUACACUUUGUGUACAUUUCUAUUUGUUAGAUAGAUGCAAGAGUUUUUGUUAAACUGAAUCAGCCUGGAAAUAGUCAGUUAGUAUCGUCAAAGUACUGACUUUAGCUCCUCUGCCAGAAUAUAGAACACACAAGACAAGAAAAUAGGUGUAGACAUAGGCUGGACAAAGAACAAAAUGCUGGAGAAACUCUUUAGGCCAGGCAGUAAGUGUGGAGGGAGAAGGAUGGCCAAGGUUUUGGGUUGAGACCAGGUAUCAGCCUGUCAAGCCUGCCUCAACAUCCAAUAUGAUCAUGGCUGAUCUAGCCCAGUACUCAGCUCCUCCUGCCCCAUGCUCUUAAUUCCCCAGAUCUUUCAAAAAACUAUCUAUCUGUCUUUCAAAUACGUUCAAUGAUCUAGCCUCCACAAGCCUAUCCGUGGAGAAUUCCUGAGAUUCACCAGCCUUUUGAGGAGAAACUCUUACACAACUCAGUCUUAUAUUACCAUUCCUUUAUCUUGUAACUGUAUCCCCGCUGUACUAGAUAAUCCCAAUAGUGAAAGCAUCUCAACAUUUACCUUGUUGUGCACUUUUGGGACCUGAUAUGUUUCAAUAAGAUCACCCACAAUUCUUCAAAACUCCAAACAUUACAGAUCCAACUCCUUUAGCAAUUUGUGGCAGAACAACCUGCUCAACCCAACAAUAACACUAAUACAUCUUUUCUAGAUUAUCUCCAAUGCAUGUCUUGAAUAUUAAAUAAGGAGAUCAAAACUGUACACAGUAUUCUGGGAAUGAUUUGACAUAAUUAUUUUGUGCCAUGCUACAAUUCCCUUCAAAUCAGCACUGAUUUUAUGAAGGCCAAUCCUAUUACUCCCAUUCCACUAGCUUUUUUUUUUUUUAAACAAUUUCCCUCCAAUACAUUUCUGUUUUCAUUCAGAUUAGUUUGAAAGUUGCAGACGGAGGUUGUCACCACUCAAUGAGGCAGCAAAUUCUCAUUUCUCACCGCCUGUAUUAAGAAUGUUUUCAUCUUUUCACUAUUUCACUUCUGAUGAACACCUUACAUCUAUCCCCUAUAGUUCCCUUAAAAAUAAGAAACUAUUUCCCUUCAGUCACUUUAUCAAAUCACCAAUCCCACAAUUACAAAUACCACCACCAAAUUUACUGUUAAGCUUUUCUGCUCAAUUAAAACAAACACACCCACUUCUCCAGUUUAUGUAAGCUGUUAUCAUUAUUAUUGGAACACUCACUGGAUAUCUUAUUUUCUCAAAGUCCUUUCUAAAAUAUGGAGUCCAGAAUUAAAUGCAAUAUUUGAGUUGAAACUAAAUUGUUGUUUUACACACAUUCAGUGUAACAUCCUGGCUUUCAUAUUAUGUGUCUCUGUUUAUAAUGUCCAGAAUCCUAUCUGUUUUAGCUGUCAAAGAUUUAUGCACAAAAAUCUCCAAAUCUUUUUUUUUCCCACAAUGGCAUAGUAUGUACAAAUUUCUGAAAUUUAAUCAAACUCUUUGAUAAUGUGGUGGGCCGUAGACCAUUGUACUGAGCCUCCUGGGUAUGCUUCAAAUGACCUUGAGCAAUGGAGAGGGAGUCCAUCUUCGUAAUUCAGAACUUCCCGUACACAUACACUAGGCAAGAAACCUAACAGAGGCAGUUGUAAUAGUUUCCAAGCUAAUCUUUCUGGAAUUCUAUUCUGGAAAUCAACAAUACCUUGAUGAGAGGAAGGGAAAAAUGUGGGUAGGUCAUUUUUUAAUGUGUUGUGCAAACCAGACACGUCAAAUUUGCAGAAAAUCUGAGUCCGACUGCUGAGUCUGGAUCCAAAACACUGACACGUCCAUUUUUGGCUCCACAGUUGCUGCUUGACUUGCGGUGGUACUGCUUACAACAGUUUGAUUUUUUUAGUCAAUUCUGCAAAGGUCAUUGAAGCAUACUGUUGACUUUUUAAAAUACCUUUUCGUAUAUUUGUUUUUCAGAAUCUGCACAUCACAGACUUGGCCAGUACUUUUGGGCCAUUUUUAUUUACCCCCGGGGUCAGCUGGUGGUGUGUCACAUACAACUGAUUGGCUAAUUAGGUCAGUUCAAUAACAAUCACAGUGGCUUUGUGUCUGGAGUCACAUGCAGAUUAGUCUAGCUAAGUAUGGGAGAGUUCCUCCCCCAAAGAGCAUUAGUGAACCAAAUGUGUAUUUACAACAGUCCAGUAAUUUUUUCAUGGUCAUUAUUACAAAGACUGGUAUUAUUUUUUCAAAGUUCAGAUGAUUAACAGAAUAUAAAUUUAACACCUACCGAUGAUGAACUUUAAUCUUGGGUCCCUGCGUUGUCAGUCCAGCCUUGGUAUAACUCAUCUGGCAAUUAAACUGCUGAACUGACACCACCUCCACCCUGGUUGACUCAUCCAUACGACACAAGCAUAAUGUUCAGAUCCUUCCUCAUUUUGUUUUCUAAAACCAUGAUCUCAAAAUUGGAUUGUCCCAAAUAUAGACCUACAAAACUAAUUGCAGUAAAACUGUUUUCAAGAAAAAAUAAAUACAGUACAGCAACUGCAAGAACUUCUUUGCAGUCAAGAAUGAAUUGCAGAAUUUGGAAAAUAGACCAGAAAUACCUAGAAAUUAACCACAAACUAACCUAUUGCGACCCAAUAACUAAUGCUGCUGCAGUGCUGGAGAUUCUGAAUGUGCAGGUAUGAUUUCCUGAGUAAAUUUACGAUAGCGUGCAUUAAUGAUAGGUAAUUUUACAAUAAGGUUGUGCAGCAAGUCUAAGAUUAUUCUUUCAAUAUUUUUAUGAUGUGUUUUAAUGUUAAGAGUGCACAGUCUGGAGGUCAUCAGAGGAGACUUAAAUGAUUACAGUGCAUCAUGUAUUUACAUCAUGGAAUGAGCAAGUUUAUACCAUCGGCUUUCUAGUUUCCUCUGCUCCUGUGUUCGUAUCAUGCAUUCGUAUUUCAAUGCCUGUCUUGUCUAAACCAGUGCAAGAAUGAAAGCAUGGAACAAGUAAUACAAUAAAUAUUUGACAUUAUUCAAUUAUUAUUAAUUAAGAUUGAUAAUCAAUGGAUUGCCACUAUUAGGCUUCAGCUAAAUAGCACGAUAACAUAGCUAAUGCUUCAUGGAAUAUCUUUGAAAGGUAGUUUUGAAUGUCAAAUUAUUUAUGAUGUCUAGUAAUCAAAAACAAUUCUACUGUUGCCCAUAGUCCAAACUAUUUUGUUAAAUUUGCUGUUCAGCAUCAGAAAAGUAGAAAUUAAACAGCAUAAAGAAUAUCUCUCAGAAAACUAAAUGGGGUGAUCUGAAUGAGAUGCUGUCUGUACUCCAAACGGAACAUCCAGUGUUCAGCCCACCCAGAUAUACCUUGGACUUUUGCAGAUCUGCCAUGAUAAUGCUGAAUGACAGAAGAUAAUGGAUCUGUAACUCAGAGUGGUGGUUGCUGGUCUCCCUGUAAAUUCUGGAGACUGCCAUUUUAAUAAAUUAUUGGACACAUGGUAAAGUUGUAAAUGUUCAUGUACGUUUUCACAAUUGUAUUUCUGCAAGUGUAAUGUAUGAAUACUGUAUAGAAAACACAACCAAGAGCAUCCUAUUGGGAACAUAAUACUUUUGUUGGAAAAAAAAGGUGCAAUCAUGACCAACAAAGAACAGUGACAAAGUGUUGUGGUGGGUAUUCAUUGAAGUGCUGUCAUAGAUAUUCAAAGAGUUAAAAGAACUGACAACUUAGUGAUAUAUUGACACAUUGAACACUAUGUUGAUUUGGUCUUGACCAUCACAUUUAAAAAUAUUGCAGACAGCAUGGGAACUAAAUGGGUGAGUCAGUAAAAUGAGUGGUAGGAGGGACAGAAAAGCAGCUCUGAAGCAAUAAUGCGCUCCGGGACUUCAAAAUAAAAAUUAGGUUGGAGAUGAUGAUCAUUUAAAGGAAUCGCUUACUGGGAGUGUGAUUAGUCUGAAUUUAAACAAGACAGAGAGAAUAUUGGAUUAAUGUAGAGUCCAUCUAGGACGAUGGCAGUGAGCAAUGGUAAAAAGAGAGAAAGAUUUAUUGUUUCCACUGUAGAUGAAAUGAGAAAAAGACAGCAUGUAUGCCUGUGUAAAUAAUUAACCUUUCAUCUAGAAAUGCAAACAUAUGACUAAUUUAGAGAUUAUGUUUAAAUAACAAUCAGGAACUAUAUCAAAUACCAAUUUAGCCAAAGAUAAAAUAUGCAAUGUAACUUGGCACGUGAAAUAAGUGCAUCUAAUGUUUCAGCUUCCCUUUUUCAGAAUCCCUUUUCAUGGAAUCAAUAAAGUGGCAAAUUCUGUGUUGUGAACAAAACAUGUAUGCGUUAUUUGAGAUGAAAUUGAAAAUAAACUAUGAAAAGUUAUAUAUAAUCGUUCAAAUAAACUAAAUAUCUGUCU